UGGUAUCGGUGCUACAAGUAAUCCCCAGGU
rnacentral:piRNA from 1 species